GUACACUCCUGCGGGAGGCGGCAGUGGGGAAUAUUGCACAAUGGGCGCAAGCCUGAUGCAGCCAUGCCGCGUGUAUGAAGAAGGCCUUCGGGUUGUAAAGUACUUUCAGCGGGGAGGAAGGCGAUAAGGUUAAUAACCUUGUCGAUUGACGUUACCCGCAGAAGAAGCACCGGCUCACUCCGUGCCAGCAGCCGCGGUAAUACGGAGGGUGCAAGCGUUAAUCGGAAUUACUGGGCGUAAAGCGCACGCAGGCGGUCUGUCAAGUCGGAUGUGAAAUCCCCGGGCUCAACCUGGGAACUGCAUUCGAAACUGGCAGGCUAGAGUCUUGUAGAGGGGGGUAGAAUUCCAGGUGUAGCGGUGAAAUGCGUAGAGAUCUGGAGGAAUACCGGUGGCGAAGGCGGCCCCCUGGACAAAGACUGACGCUCAGGUGCGAAAGCGUGGGGAGCAAACAGGAUUAGAAACCCGGGUAGUCC
rnacentral:rRNA from 1 species